rnacentral:rRNA from 1 species
GUUGAUUUGUGUUUUUAUAUUUUAUUAUAAUUGAAAGAUCAUUUCUGGUUGUUGUAUUUAUUUUGAUUUAAUUUUUUAUACGAUAGAUUAUUUGUACUGUGAGGGGUUGUUGUUGAUAAGUGUUUUGAGGGAAGUUAAUUUUGUUUAUUGUACCUUGUGUAUCAGGGUUCAUUGAAUUUUAUUAUUUAUUUUUAUUUCCCGAUUUUAAAGGAGUUAAUAGCUUAUGUUAGUUAUUGUUUCAUCAAUAUUAAUAAUAGGUUAUUGGUAGUGAAAUGUUAUUCGUCUUUUAUGGUUUCUGGUUUUCCAAGAAAUGAAUUUAAUUCAUACAUCAUAUUUAAUUUCUGUUAUUAUUUUAUUUGUUUUUAUUUGAUGUUAAGGUUAGGGGGGAUUAGCUCCCUGUCUUAUUAUUAUAAUUUUGUUUGUGAAUUUGGUUUUGUGGAUUUUAUAGUGAUUUUCAAUUUGAUUAUGUUAAAAUUUUACUUGUUUCUUUUAUUUAUUUAUUUUAAUUUAGUUAGUUUAUUGGAAUGUUUUCUUUGCUUUUGGUUUGUGUAGAAAUUAUUGUGGAAUUAGUAAAUCUUGCUUUAUAUAUUGUUUGUUAAAGUAUUAGUGUUAAUUAUUUUUUAGGAAUUAGGCAAAUUUUAUGCCCGCCUGUUUAACAAAAACAUCUUUUCUUGUUAGUUUUUGAAGUAUGGCCUGCCCACUGACGUAUAUUAGGUUGAAGGGCCGCGGUAUUUUGACCGUGCAAAGGUAGCAUAAUCAUUAGUUCUUUAAUUGUGAUCUGGUAUGAAUGGCUUGACGAGGCAUUGUCUUAAGUUUAUGUUUUAAUUGAAUUUGGUCUUUGAGUUAAAAUUCUUAAAUGUUUUUAUGGGACGAGAAGACCCUAUAGAGUUUAACACCCUUCUUAUUAUGUGUUGUUUUGUUUGUUUUGUAUUUUAAUACGAUGGGUGUUUUGUUGGGGUGAUGGGAGGAAUAUAUUUAACUCCUCUUUGGUUUAGUUGUAUAUUUAUGUAUAGUUUUAUUUUGAUCCAAUUAUUUUGAUUAUAAGAUUAAAUUACCUUAGGGAUAACAGCGUUAUCUUCCUUGAGAGUUCUUAUUGGCAGGGGGGUUUGCGACCUCGAUGUUGGAUUAAGAUGAAUUUUCGGUGUAGGAGCUGAAGUUUGAUUAGGUCUGUUCGACCUUUAAAAUCUUACAUGAUCUGAGUUCAGACCGGCGUGAGCCAGGUUGGUUUCUAUCUAUAAUAUAUUUUUAUACCUUAGUACGAGAGGACCGGGUAUUUGGAAUAAUUUUAUUUGUAUUUGAUUAUUAUUAAUGUUAUUACUAUUUUGGCAGAUAAGUGCAUUGGAUUUAGAAUCUAUUAA